UACGUAGGGUGCAAGCGUUAAUCGGAAUUACUGGGCGUACAACGCGCGCAGGCGGUUGCCGACGUGCCGUGUGACAAGCCACUGCUCAACAGUGGAGGGCCAGGGUACACGAGCGGUCUGGAGGCAGGGAGAGGGAUGUGGAAUGCCCGGUGGAGCGGUGAAAUGCGUAGAGAUCGGCAGGAACACCCAGGGGGAAACCAGUCGACUGGGCAUCUACUGACGCUGAGGUGCGAGAGCGUGGGGAGCGAACCGG
rnacentral:rRNA from 1 species